UACGGAGGGGGCGAGCGUUAUUCGGAAUUAUUGGGCGUAAAGGGCGCGUAGGCGGCCCGGUAAGUCAAAGGUGAAAUCCCUCGGCUCAACUGAGGAACUGCCUUUGAAACUGUCGGGCUUGAGGCCGGGAGGGGGUAGCGGAAUUCCCAGUGUAGCGGUGAAAUGCGUAGAUAUUGGGAGGAACACCAGUGGCGAAGGCGGCUACCUGGACCGGUUCUGACACUGAUGCGCGAAAGCGUGGGUAGCAAACAGG
rnacentral:rRNA from 1 species